GCACUUACCUGGACGGGGUCAAUGGGCGAUCAAGAAGGCCCAUGUCAUAGGUUUGUGACCUCUAUUGCACUUAGGAGGGGUGCUCUCGUAUGGUCUCCCCAAGCGGGAGAGCCAGCGUCAUAAUUUGUGUUAGUGGGGGCCUGCGUUCGCGCGGCCCCUAU